GCCGCAUACAACGCGCACCAGAGCAACUGUACACAUUAAUCUACUUUACUCUAUAUUCUAUUUAAGUCACCUUGAUUUUUUGGCGUCUCGUGUGUGAGGAGGCUGCAGGAGGGCGGACGGAACCAUGCAUCAGAAGGCCCAGUCAAGACACAUUCUGGACAUCGACCCCCCUCAGCAGAUGGACAAAAAGCGCCUGAAGUGCCUUCCUGCAUCACUUGAAUGUUGGUUCAAUACCCUGAGAGAUGUUAAGAGAAAGCUGAAGGGCCGAGGUCCCGACCUGUCACCUGAAUCACAAACCAGUCCAGCAAAAAGGGGCAAAAUCCGAGGGGGAUUGGUUUGGUCUUCUUGCACAUUUCAAAUCUCCAACUUAACUCCUCACUAUUCUUUUUUCCUUCAAUAAUGCCAGUGGGAUUCUAUACUGCGCCAUAUCUGCCGUGGGAAACAUUCCCAAGUGAGGCAAGGCUUGCUUGAGAGCCCAGCGGCAAAACACAGCAGCGUAAAACAAGGACGGAAGAUAGAAAAUCAUCUGCUAUAUGAUUAUAUUAUUAUUUAUUUUGUGUAUUUGACAAUCACAAUGUGGUCUAUAUGCCUGCUUGAAAGGAAUAAAAGGUUGUUUCAAGCACAUUUUUAGAUGCAGCUGUAUUGAAAUGAUGUACCAACAUUGAUCUAAA